rnacentral:rRNA from 1 species
GGCGAUCAGAUACCGCCCUAGUUCUGACGUAACGAUGCCACUAGCGAUCGCCGCGAUCAUUCGCCUGUGGGAGCUCCGAACGAAGUCUCGUCGGAGUAUGUGCAAGCUGAAACUUAAAGGAAUUGACGGAGGGCACCACCAGGAGUGGAGCCUGCCGGCUUAAUUUGACUCAACACGGGGGAAACUCCACCCCGGCCCGGACACCGUARGAUUGACAGAAUUGAUUAGCUUUUUCAUGAUUCGGUGGAUGGUGGUGCAUGGCCGUUCUUAGUUCGUGGAGCGAUUUGUCUGGUUUAUUCCGAUAACGAGCGAGACUCUGGCCUACUAAAUAGUUGGUACAUUGCCACUGUGUGCACAACUUCUUAGAGGGAUUUUCGGUGUUCAGCCGCACGAAAUUGAGCAAUAACAGGUCUGUGAUGCCCUUAGAUGUCCGGGGCUGCACGCGCGCUACACUGGCAAACGCAACGUGCCUGUCCUGCCCCGAAAGGAGCGGGUAAACCCCUGAAAUUUUGCCGUGAUUGGGAUCGGACAUUGCAACUAUUGUCCGUGAACGAGGAAUUCCUUGUAGGGGCGAGUCAUCAACUCGUCCCGAAUACGUCCCUGCCCUUGUA